rnacentral:rRNA from 1 species
CGAGGAAUACAUGGGUAACGUACCCUGGACUUGAGGACACCCCGGAGAAAUCCGGGAUAAUACUCGAUGAGACCAUAGUGCCGCAGGGCACAGUGGUCAAAGGCGGGGAUCCCUUCGGGGACCUGUCGGUCUGGGAGCGGCCCAUGCCCUAUCAGCUUGUUGGUGAGGUAACGGCUCACCAAGGCAACGACGGGUACCGGGACUGAGAGGUUGACCCGGCGCAUCGGGACUGAGACACUGCCCGG